GAAGGAUCCAAAGGCACGGCAAGAGAAGGAGUGUAAACCCCUGCCGGACCAAAGCCGAGUGGCAGAAUUUGAAGCUCCGUCGCCAGCACAGAGAUGUUGCCGGGUGGGCGACUGGCUGG
rnacentral:ribozyme from 12 species